rnacentral:rRNA from 1 species
CAGCCGCCACGGUAAUACGUAGGGUGCGAGCGUUAAUCGGAAUUACUGGGCGUAAAGCGUGCGCAGGCGGUUCGUUAAGACAGAUGUGAAAUCCCCGGGCUUAACCUGGGAACUGCAUUUGUGACUGACGGGCUAGAGUAUGGCAGAGGGGGGUAGAAUUCCACGUGUAGCAGUGAAAUGCGUAGAGAUGUGGAGGAAUACCGAUGGCGAAGGCAGCCCCCUGGGCCAAUACUGACGCUCAUGCACGAAAGCGUGGGGAGCAAACAGGAUUAGAUACCCGCGUAGUCCCUGUCUCUUAUAC